UGAUUCAGCACUUUGGGCUCACCGUGCCUGACACCUGUUUUAUUAAGCGUGCCCGUGUGUCAAACACCGCAGAAUGAAAAGAAAGGUGUUUUUGUUGACUGGAACUGUGUCUCCUCACUCUGGCCCUUCCCUUGCCCAUCUGAGCCCAAGAGAGCUUGAGGCCAAGGAAAGGGAAGAAACCAAAGUUGCCUGGGACAAUGUCCAAUCUGACAAGGCCGUAAAUGAUCUAUAAAAAUCCUAAGACAAAAUGCUCAGGAAGGAAGAAACUCUAAUUAAGGAAAUCCUGAAUGCCCGAAGCCUGCUCAUGAAUACGAGGGACAUAAUAACAGGCAAAGUGGAGAAGCUCAUAAAGGAGGAUGAAGCCUCAGCCUCGUCACAGCUUUUAUAGGGCACCGAUCAGCCAUGCUGGGCCCUGUGCUGAGCCCGGGGAGCAGUAAUGAGUAUCGCGGCCCUGACCAGGGUACAGCCGGGGAGAGGAAGGACAGGCCAAAGAGUGUGUGAAAAGGAUGCCAGCCUGGCGCUCUGGUGUAGACGGACUUCUCCAAACUUUGGGUGAACCCUCUGCCCAGUGCACAGAUGCAGGACCAUAGGAUGAGGGGGACGGCUGGGUUUCGACUACCUGCUGUGUUGUCAGGCACUGUGCCAGGCAGGGAGAGAACACUGAGCCCCGCCGAGAUCACACAGCGCCCCGGUGGCCUGGCACACGCACAAGGAGCUCGCAGAAUGCCGCACUGAGCCUUAAAGGCAUGAGAUGAGAAUUAUCCUGGGAAUAGGAAGAAGGUUGAAGUAUAUACAUGAUUCCCAGAUUCUGUAUUUGAGAAUUUGCCAACUCGCUAAAAUUUCCUUGCAAUCCCCAAAUCAAUACCUUGAGGCACCUUUGUGGUCAUUUUUGGCACACGCAUGACGUGGGGGGAAAUAGGAGUUGCUCAACAUGCACAAUCCCAGCUGAGGACCAACAACGUGACGCUCUGCCUCUUGUUUCAGUUUUCAUACUAUAAAUAAGGGUCUUUCUCGAGGUCGGUUUAGUGCUACCCUUUUCACAUUUUUCUGCUUUUUCUUGGUAAUUUCUCUGUUUAAAAUGGCUCCUGAGCAUAGUGCCAAAGUGCUGACCAAUGUUCCCUCUUUUUUUUUUUUUUUAGAUUGUAUUUAUUUAUU